rnacentral:rRNA from 1 species
AUGGCACUCUCAGAAUUGACAUUUUCUCUUAUGACCUGUAGGACCUGCAUGCGGUUUGCUACAAGGGCUAUGGCUUUGCUGGAUGCAGCUGCCCACGCGACAAUCUUCGUUUUGGUUACUGUUGCUGUGGUUAGAGCCAAGAGCGGCAUUGGGAUAAAAGCCCAAACUGUUAAUGAGGAAAACCAGGGAAGUCAAGAUUGA